rnacentral:rRNA from 1 species
AUGGCUUCUUUGCUCUGUUCACAGAUAAAACUAAACAGAGCAUAUGUUAGGAGGCAGGUUCAUGAGAAUAGACUUACGAGAUUGCCUAAGUCUCUUCAUUGGAGCCCCUUGCAGUCAGGCCAUUUUAAGAACAUUGCAUUGCGUUGCACUAAGAAUUUGCCUUGGGAGGCCUCUCUACCAUAUGCCUCCACAGAGGACGAUGCCAGCAUUAUCAUGGGAACAAAUGUUGUCGAAGCUAUUGAUACAGAAGAAGCUCCAGAGAUUCCAAUCCUCCAGAGUGACCAGGAUGUUGUGGACGUGAGGAAUGAACCUUCUAAGCAGCCAGCAACAUUUAAGCUGCCAAUGUGGCUGUUAGGGCCUUCAGUUCUGUUGGUUACCGGUAUAGUUCCAACUUUGUGGCUGCCAUUGCCUUCAGUGUUCCUUGGCCCUAACAUCGCGGGCCUUCUAUCCCUAGUGGGACUCGACUGCAUCUUUAACAUGGGAGCAAUGCUGUUUUUCCUUAUGGCCGACGCGUGCGGGCGUCCAGAGAACAAUUCGUUCGACCUGACAAGGCAGAUCCCAACUACUUACAGGUCUUGGAAUCUGGUUGCCAGCAUAUUAGGCUUUGUUGCUCCUUUUGCCCUGCUUUUUGCGUCUCAUCGGGGAGCUCUGCAGCCACAUCUGCCAUUCAUUCCGUUCUUGGUGCUGCUUGGGCCAUACCUGUUACUCCUUUCGGUGCAGAUGCUGACUGAGACGCUUACAUGGCACUGGAGAUCGCCGGUCUGGUUGGUGGCCCCCGUCGUUUAUGAGGGCUACCGGGUGCUACAGCUGAUGAGGGGCCUGCAGCUGGCCAGCGAGAUCGCUGCGCCGGGGUGGAUGGUGCAGAGCCUUCGUGGCUUGGUGACCUGGUGGGUGCUGGUCCUUGGGAUUCAGUUGAUGCGCGUUGCCUGGUUUGCUGGGGUCAGUUCCGCGAGCGAUCCGAGCUACGGAUCGAGCGAUGAUGUGAACAGGUAG